rnacentral:misc_RNA from 1 species
UUUCCGUAGGUGAACCUGCGGAAGGAUCAUUAUUAUAUAACCGAGGCGCGAGGGCUGUCACUGACCCAAAAGGUCGUGCACGCCAGAGUGCCCUCGCACACAUCCAUCUCACCCCUAUGAGCAACACAGCGUGGGUCCCCCUUUGACUUGUUCGGCAAGAUGCUUUCAUUUUCCUUAACACUUUGUAUGACUUGUAGCAUGUGUUUUUUUGUUUUGCGAUCCCGCGAUCAAUGCAACUUUCCACACCGGAUCUCUUGGCUCUCGCAUCCAUGAAGAACC